GGCUUAGAGUUUGAUCAUGGCUCAGGAUGAACGCUGGCGGCGUGCCUAACACAUGCAAGUCGAGCGAAGCACUUUACUUGGAUUCUUUCGGGAUGACGAGUGAUUUGACUGAGCGGCGGACGGGUGAGUAACGCGUGGGUAACCUGCCUCACACAGGGGGAUAACAGUUAGAAAUGACUGCUAAUACCGCAUAAGACCCCGGCACCGCAUGGUGCAGGGGUAAAAACUCCGGUGGUGUGAGAUGGACCCGCGUCUGAUUAGGUAGUUGGUGAGGUAACGGCUCACCAAGCCGACGAUCAGUAGCCGGCCUGAGAGGGUGGACGGCCACAUUGGGACUGAGACACGGCCCAAACUCCUACGGGAGGCAGCAGUGGGGAAUAUUGCACAAUGGGGGAAACCCUGAUGCAGCGACGCCGCGUGAGCGAAGAAGUAUUUCGGUAUGUAAAGCUCUAUCAGCAGGGAAGAAACUGACGGUACCUGACUAAGAAGCACCGGCUAAAUACGUGCCAGCAGCCGCGGUAAUACGUAUGGUGCAAGCGUUAUCCGGAUUUACUGGGUGUAAAGGGAGCGUAGACGGAUAGGCAAGUCUGGAGUGAAAACCCGGGGCUCAACCCCGGGACUGCUUUGGAAACUGUUUAUUUAGAGUGCUGGAGAGGUAAGUG
rnacentral:rRNA from 1 species